rnacentral:rRNA from 1 species
GAUGAACGCUGGCGGCGUGCCUAAUACAUGCAAGUCGAGCGAACGGACGAGAAGCUUGCUUCUCUGAUGUUAGCGGCGGACGGGUGAGUAACACGUGGAUAACCUACCUAUAAGACUGGGAUAACUUCGGGAAACCGGAGCUAAUACCGGAUAAUAUUUUGAACCGCAUGGUUCAAAAGUGAAAGACGGUCUUGCUGUCACUUAUAGAUGGAUCCGCGCUGCAUUAGCUAGUUGGUAAGGUAACGGCUUACCAAGGCAACGAUGCAUAGCCGACCUGAGAGGGUGAUCGGCGACAAUGGAAGGGAGAGACGGUGCAGACUCCUACGGGAGGCAGCAGUAGGGAAUCUUCCGCAAUGGGCGGAAGCCUGAAGGAGCAACGCCGCGUGAGUGAUGAAGGUAUUCGGAUCGUAAAACUCUGUUAUUAGGGAAGAACAUAUGUGUAAGUAACUGUGCACAUCUUGACGGUACCUAAUCAGAAAGCCACGGCUAACUACGUG